rnacentral:lncRNA from 1 species
AAGUUGACCUUCGCCAACUCUUGCAUUUGUUUUCUCCUAGUUUUCACAGGGCCACCAUGAUUCAUUUGAGACAUUGUGGGACCAAGGGUUGGCGGUCGAAAUAGAUGAUCGUGCGAGCCGCAAAUUUUGGCAUAAAUACUUCUUCGUUAAAAUCGAGCAUCUUGUGUCGGACUCCGUUGGAUUCCCUUACGGUGGAAUAACAAUCGUAUGUAUUGGUACUUGU